rnacentral:rRNA from 1 species
UACGGAGGAUCCGAGCGUUAUCCGGAUUUAUUGGGUUUAAAGGGUGCGCAGGCGGGCAUAUAAGUCAGUGGUGAAAUCUCUCGGCUCAACUGAGAAACUGCCAUUGAUACUGUAUGUCUAGAGUGCAGAUGAGGUAGGCGGAAUGUGUCAUGUAGCGGUGAAAUGCUUAGAUAUGACACAGAACACCGAUUGCGAAGGCAGCUUACCAAACUGUUACUGACGCUCAUGCACGAAAGCGUGGGGAGCGAACAGG